GACGGAGGGCGUGGGUGUUAUUCGUUUUGAUUGGGUGUAAAGGGUAUGUAGGUGGCUCGUAGUGGUUUGGCAAAAAUGGCGGAGUGUUCCUAUGCCGAUGCCUUUGAUAACGCGAGCUUGGUGUUGAGGAUAGGUAGGGGCAAGUUCUCAUGUAGGGGUAAAUCCUGCCAUAUGAGAACGAACGUCAGCAGGCGAAGGCGCCUUUCCAGCCUCAACAGACGCUAAGGUACGGAAGCUUAGGGCGCAAACGGG
rnacentral:rRNA from 1 species